UACGGGGAGGUCCUGCCCAGCAUGCUCUGGGGCGGGGCCACAUCCGGGGGCAGGGCCUGAGAGACUCUGAGAGCCUGUUUGGCUUCUUGAGGGCGAGGGCACCAGCAACCUGGCCAGACAUCUCACCUCAGGCUUCUGGAAGAUAUGAGUUGAGAUUUAACUCAAAGACAGGUUCUGAGGAAGGUUUCUGGAUGCCUGAGUGACCUUCCCCACUGCCCAGCCGGAAGGAUCCUUUCCUCCAUCUGCCAUUUCCAUUACGGUGGGCAGGCCCUCACAGUCCCUGGGCCCCCAAACUCUCACUCCAGGCCCAGCCUUAGAAGGCGCUCAGAGGCCUGGGGGCAGGGCUGUGCCUGCCCAACACCACCCCCUUUGACGAGGGCACUCUGAGGAACUCCACCAAGAAUGAAUUUAUUUAGUACCUAACAUGUGCCAGAUACUAUGCCAGGCUCUGGGAUACAAUGUGAUUUAAUGUGAAGAAUGCUUUGGAUGGGGUAAACAGGAUGUGAGAGACCAGUGAGAAGGCCACUGCAGUAAUCUACGAGAGAAAUGAUGUCAGCAUGGACCACAAUGGUGGUGGCCAAAGUGGAGUAACGUGGACGGAUGUGAGUGGCAUGACUUCAUUAAUUCUAAUAAGACGGAACAUUUUUCCUUUUGUUUCGCUCCAGUGCCCAAGAG
rnacentral:lncRNA from 1 species